UACAGAGGUCUCAAGCGUUGUUCGGAUUCAUUGGGCGUAAAGGGUGCGUAGGCGGCCCGGUAAGUCCGUUGUAAAAGUCGAAGGCUCAACCUUCGAAAGCCGAUGGAUACUGCCGGGCUAGAGUCCGGAAGAGGCGAGUAGAAUUCCUGGUGUAGCGGUGGAAUGCGCAGAUAUCAGGAGGAAUACCCAUAGCGAAGGCAGCUCGCUGGGACGGUACUGACGCUGAGGCGCGAAAGCGUGGGGAGCGAACAGG
rnacentral:rRNA from 1 species